UAGAAACGUGUGCACUCUGUACUCCAGGUAUUCUUCAGCUGUGGGACUAUACGACAUACAUGUUGAGUUUGCCAGAUGAAUGUUUUGCAGAUUUUUCCCAAAUACUAAUCAGAGAUACAGUAUGUACACCAUUAGAAUCAUCGUCUUCAUCUUCUGCUGUGUGGAGAUUGUGGGAUGCUCAUUCAAGAAAUGUGCCUAUGACAAAAGAGACUUGGAGAAAUGCAGCGAUGAAUCAAAGUACCAUUGUAAAAAUAAAGAUGGUGGUAAUGCUCAUGCUGAGGAGAAGUGCUUAGUCCCUGCUUGGUGCGAGAAAGGCUAUGGCUUUGACAUGCUUGAAGAUGGUGUCGGGAACGCGAAGUGUAGCCCUUGCAAAGAAGGUUAUAACAAUGUGUAUCCAUGUUGGACAAACAAGUCUUUCUGCAAGUGUACCCCAAUACGUACAUCCGAGAGGAGCGAUCUGAUUGAGGUACAUCCUGGAAACAGCACUCACAACGCUUUAUAUAAGUGUGAUAUGCGGAAGGGCUAUUAUAUGCCUAACAACCCAAAUUACACGUGUUACCCUGACGACUGCAGGAGCUGUAAGCAU